rnacentral:rRNA from 1 species
UACGUAGGUGGCAAGCGUUGUCCGGAAUUACUGGGUGUAAAGGGAGCGCAGGCGGGAAGCCAAGUCAGCUGUGAAAACUACGGGCUUAACUUGUAGACUGCAGUUGAAACUGGUUUUCUUGAGUGAAGUAGAGGUUGGCGGAAUUCCGAGUGUAGCGGUGAAAUGCGUAGAUAUUCGGAGGAACACCGGUGGCGAAGGCGGCCAACUGGGCUUUAACUGACGCUGAGGCUCGAAAGUGUAGGGAGCAAACAGG